GCAAGUCGAACGGUAGCACAGAGAGCUUGCUCUCGGGUGACGAGUGGCGGACGGGUGAGUAAUGUCUGGGAAACUGCCUGAUGGAGGGGGAUAACUACUGGAAACGGUAGCUAAUACCGCAUAACGUCGCAAGACCAAAGAGGGGGACCUUCGGGCCUCUUGCCCUGAGAGGUGCCCAGAUGGGAUUAGCUAGUAGGUGGGGUAAAGGCUCACCUAGGCGACGAUCCCUAGCUGGUCUGAGAGGAUGACC
rnacentral:rRNA from 1 species